GACGAACGCUGGCGGCGUGCUUAACACAUGCAAGUCGAACGAAGAGCGGUGGAAGCUUGCUUCUAUCAAUCUUAGUGGCGAACGGGUGAGUAACGCGUAAUCAACCUGCCCUUCAGAGGGGGACAACAGUUGGAAACGACUGCUAAUACCGCAUACGAUCUAAUCUCGGCAUCGAGGAUAGAUGAAAGGUGGCCUCUACAUGUAAGCUAUCACUGAAGGAGGGGAUUGCGUCUGAUUAGCUAGUUGGAGGGGUAACGGCCCACCAAGGCGAUGAUCAGUAGCCGGUCUGAGAGGAUGAACGGCCACAUUGGGACUGAGACACGGCCCAGACUCCUACGGGAGGCAGCAGUGGGGAAGCUUCCGCAAUGGACGAAAGUCUGACGGAGCAACGCCGCGUGAGUGAUGACGGCCUUCGGGUUGUAAAGCUCGGUUAAUCGGGACGAAAGGCCUUCUUGCGAAUAGUGAGAAGGAUUGACGGUACCGGAAUAGAAAGCCACGGCUAACUACGUG
rnacentral:rRNA from 1 species